CUCUCUCUGUUUCUCUGUUGUUUACAAUCUAUUUUUCUUUUUUUGACAAACAUAGUGAAUAAUCACUGGAAUCCAUCUCUUGUAUCAAUGGAUACGGCAGGGAAAUUGACUGUCUUACGAUAUAGAUUUUUUUACGGGCUUAUACAGUGUAAUUUUUGUUUGCCGCUAGCUGGAUUGUUGUUGUGUGUCUCCUUGUUUCACAGUCAGGACCGCAUCUUCGUUCCAACAAGGGACUUCUUUCAUACAUUGAGCAAAUGUAUGGAGGAGCAGUAGGCGUUAGUUCAGAACACUCAAGAUGAUGUGAAUAUUUAAGAUGCUAGCUGAACUGGACCAUGGCAUCCUAUCGGGUUUAAUUAGUUUCAAGUAGAUUUUUUUUUAUUCCCAUGCCCAUUCCUAGGAUAAAUCCCACCGCACACCAAACUAGGGAUUGAGACUGAAAGUCUAUUUCCCAUGUAUAACCUCUCACCAAACAUCCAUCCUGAACUCCCAUUUCUCAUGCCAAAGGUUGAUGAACACGCUGUGGGCUUCUUAGUUGUGGAUGUUGAUUUGGUCAUGUUUCUCAACUUUUCCUCUUUUGAUAUGCUGAUAUGUAGUAUUUCAUAUUUAGAGGUAACAAAGUUAUGUUGAUUCUAAUUUAAAUUUUGUUGUUAAUGCACUGCUACACAUCUCUUCUCGUAGAAGAGAAAAGGAUAAGAAAAAGAAUGAAGUGCAAGUUGAUCUUGAGAUAACGGCCACCUCUGUUGCAUUGGAUGGAGCACACCGCCCACGCCCAUGCCAUGCAGAUGGCUGGCAAAGAGGAGAAGCUGCUAGGCACCGUCGUGGCUGUCAUGUUGUGAACUUGUGAUGCAUAGCCCCCCUGGAGAUUAACAGCUAUGAUGAGUAGAUUUUGUCCUCCGUUGUUCCACUCUUGGUGGGGCUAGCAACUGCGGAGCGUUUGACCAGUAACAAGGAAACAUAUGGUGAACAUGCUGGUGCUACUUCUGCAGUUUCUCGCCCUCUGCCUCUUAUCCACAUUUCUUCUUUCAUUACUGAAGUUCAGAGUUAGUCACAACUCAUGGGUGCAUGUUUUUUUGUUCAUGUUUUGAAGAAUAUAAGAUAAGGAUCAUCCAUCUGAAUAAUUUUGACGCUGCUGUACAUUUCAGCUCUGCUAGAACAUUAUUGUGCAAUUUUUUCUUUAUUAUAUAGCUUCUUUAUGGAUAUGUCAUUUGACAGUUUCGUGCCCAUGUGGCCAGUUUUCUCUUUCUACUUAUUAGUUAACCAAGGUAUCUAGAAGUUGCACUAUUAGUAAUUUGGUUUUACUCGCCUGCUACUGCCAUCUAUAUAUCGAGUUUGGGAUUCUGUAUAGCAGAAUGAUUUCUCUUUACUUGAUUAUCAUACAUACCUUCCCUUAGGGUAUUAAUUUGACAUUUUCCUAUAAUGUAACUGCUUAGUGUAUUCAUAUUAUCUCGCUAUUGCUUUACAUUUUGUGCAGCGCAACAAUAUGAAUUCCACAGUAUGGAUUAUGCAAAUAUUUUUUGACAGCAUCUGUCAGGGUGGUAAGCUUUCCUUGCCGUUUCUCUUUGCUGCUCCCGCUAGCUAGCUUGUGGUUUCUAUUUUACAAGCAUGGUAUGGUGAACCUAAUUUUCAUUCAAAGGAACUUGGUGCUACAACCAGUUGACAAAAAAAAUUCUUUUAGUUUUACAUACUGGAGUCACGACAUAUUUAUCUUGAUUAGCCUAUUGUUGUGUGUUUGUUACCUAGCAUCAUAUUUACUCCAUGCCUUUUCUUGUAGCAGUGUAAAGAAAUAUAUUGUGACGGCAAUCUGUCUACCUAAGGACACCAACUUGUAUUCAGCUCGAUCUUUUGGAUUGACCAUGGCGAGUAUGGAUACGUUUCUUGACGUAUAAGUGAUUCUUUGGCUUAAAUAGCUUUGCAUGGAUAUGUUUAGUCUCUCUGCGAUGCAUCAAGCAUGUCUUCUCAAGAUAAGCUUGGUUAAAUUUUGGUUCGUGUCAGUUCACUAAUUUUUUGUAGAAAGUACAAUAUUAUACAUGAUUGCUACAUAUCAAGUUCAGCAUCUGGUAUCUCGGUAGCAGUACUAAUUACUCUUUCUUUCUACGUAGCUAGCUUGCUACAUUCAACAAUUAUACAACUGGGAAGUUACGGCAGCUAGCUAUGGUCCCGUUUGUGAAUUACUAAUUGUGGAGCUCUGUUUGUUCAUUACCAGGAUAUCAGCCAUGCCCUCCUUAAUUAGGAUUGUACACGUGUGAGAGGGCAGUAUAAAUAUGGAUUUUUACCAAACUGAAGCAAUAGGAUGCAUGGUAGCAAUUCGUCAGUUAACUUCAGUUUGUUCGUUAUAUAUUUGUGAAAAGGAGUGAGAGGGAACACUGCUGAUUCUAGAGAUCAGUUUGCUUGGUUCGUUCCGACUAUUAAUCCAUUCCUCGCUAAAGCUUGUCCAACUUGCAUUGUCGUGGAUCCUCACAAGGCACUGCCAUGCAACAGUGUUUCUAAAUAAAUGAUUUGUUGGUCCAUGAAACUUGGAUCUCGGCUGAGGUUUCUGAUCUAGCUGAUGAUCACAUUGUAGCCCUGGAGGAAGCUCUAUGAAGAUUCAGACAUAAUAGGAUGUGUAGCGUACAACCUCGGUCCUGGAAAGGGAACAUUUCUUUGGCUUAAAUCCCUCUGGUGUAUUCUGGGAGAAGAGAGAUGCAGAGGUUGCAUAUGUUGCAACUACCAAAGCUGUGAAGGGGCUCAAAUGGAAGGGUGCUACCCCAUUAUCUCCCUACUGCUUAGGGUCUAUACGAUUGUGGCUGGCCCAUAAAGGAAACACUAAUGGAAAAGUUUAAAGUGAUAAAGCAUUUAUAUUAAAAUGUUGUAUUGGAUAUCUCCAUCUUAUUCCAAAAGUCCAUUGCUCUGGACUGUGGCCUUUACCAAAUGAUAGAAGUGAGGUUUCAAGUUUAAAAAAUUACACUAUGGUCUGGAUCGCUAACAUUUUGGUUAAAGAGAUGAAGCCCAGUGUUGUAUUUGGACUAUCUGUUGUGGGUGGUUUCCUCUCAAAGGAGCAUUUGCUUGUGAUGAUUGAGAAAUUCAAGGGACAUGCAGCUUGUGUUUUCUGUUAGAUUUUUGUAAAGGUUAGAUUUUGUCUCUUUGUUAUAUAUCUCUGCUUCAAAUAUGAGUUACUUUGAAUGAUGCAUGCAGUAUUUUAUACAAUAUUUGUGGCUGGAAUUUGAUAAAUUUCAACUGAUUCAUUUAUAUCUGGGGUAUAAGUCAGUUUGUGAAGUUCACGCCAUUGUAAGCUAUACUUUUCAUCUCAAGGGAUACCAGAGCUGAAAUGUAGCAUAGUGCCUUUUUUUGCAUGGGCUAUCUUGCUUUGGCUUAUUGUCUGUGCACAAAAAUGGAUUGCAGACAAGGGUCUCUACAAGUGUGCGUAAAAGUGCGAUUAAAUCACUCAGAAGAGAAACAAGCAACGUUAUAUUAAAUGAAGUUCUCAACUUGGCAGCAUUUGAUUUUCAAUGUAUACACAGUUUGAUCCAUCAUUAUCUUCACCGGUUAACAUAUUGUGUUCUCAGACCAUGUAAUUCCUUUAAAGAAGUUGCACAAUAUUUGUUGACUACUUUAUUCUCUUGCCAUUCAAUAUAUCGUAGAUUCAAGAUUUAUAUCAUAUACCAUCUGCACAGUAACACAUUAUGGAAUUUAGGUUUCUGUUGUAUUCUGUGCCUACUAUACCUGUGUGAUUAAUUAGGUGCAUUCGUAUACUGUAUGUAUGUUCAUUUGAUUCCUCCAUGUAAAUCGUGUUGUGCCUGUUAAUUAUGGAUAGAAGAUCAGCUUUUAGCGACCAAUUGCCUAGGUGCGGGUAAUCUGUUAAUUCUGUGUAUCACGAUCUACUGAAACCUAACACAACAUUUGUACUCUUUUUCCUGUGUUUAACAUCUGCUGCCCUUUAGGCUGGUCUUGCAUGCCCAACAGGUACCUAAGUUCAGUUAUCCGUGUCAGCGCUUUCUGCAACCAAUAUUAGGUCAUUAUAUUCGAGUAUUUAUUUGAAUAUCAAUUAGUAUAGAUGCAUUGGUUACUUACAAGAGGUACUGUAUUCAGUUUCCAUAGGCCGAGUUUUCCAUCUCUACUGCUUUAUGUAACUGGUAAAAUGAAACAAAUGGUUUCUGCUUGCUUAUCCCCAUUUGCAGCGGUGUUAACUCUUGGUGAUGCAAGCCCUAAUCUCUAAAGACCGAGACAAUGCCUAGCCUACGUAGAUGAUGCAUUUGGCGUUCAUUUCUUGCUUUUGUUGCUCUUGACGGAAUCAAAGAAUGUAAUGUAUUCCAUAUUGCUUCUCUGAUUAUAUAUAAACUAUUCUUACUCUUUUUGUAA